UGUGACUUCCUGAUACAUACAGAUCUG
rnacentral:piRNA from 1 species